rnacentral:rRNA from 1 species
GUUGGAAACGACAGCUAAUACCGCAUAAUAUUGCUGGAUAAUUUCCAGUAAUGAAAGGAGCUUUCAAGCUCCGCUGAUUGAUGAGGAUGCGGCGCAUUAGCUAGUUGGUAGGGUAAUGGCCUACCAAGGCAAUGAUGCGUAGCCGAUCUGAGAGGAUGAACGGCCACAUUGGGACUGAGACACGGCCCAAACUUCUACGGAAGGCAGCAGUAGGGAAUUUUUCACAAUGGGCGAAAGCCUGAUGGAGCAAUGCCGCGUGACUGAUGAAGGUCUUCGGAUUGUAAAGGUCUGUUGUAAGGGAAGAAAUGGUAAAACAGGAAAUGGUUUUAUCUAUGACGGUACCUUACCAGAAAGCCACGGCUAACUAUGUGCCAGCAGCCGCGGUAAUACAUAGGUGGCAAGCGUUAUCCGGAUUUAUUGGGCGUAAAGGGUGCGUAGACGGUUUUGCAAGUCUGAGGUUAAAUUUAGG